GGCGGCGCUGCUACCAACAUGGCCGACAUUUCCCCUCCGCGGCGUGAGCGGCAGCAAUGAACUGUGGGGGAUAUUUAUUCAAGUUAGCCGGAGUGACAGCCGGGCCCGGCCGCGCACAGCCCCGGUUUGCAUUAAAGGGGAAUCGGCCCGGCCGGCCCGGAAGCCAGAUGCGGGGCUGCCAGGGUUGGUCUUGUCAGAUUCGUCCUAAGAGGGCCGGUGGGACAGCUGCAGGCUGGAUGGAAAGAAAACCAUGCAACGUUUAUGAAUGAAUUGAAAAACCUUCAGGCUGAAGGACUUACGACUCUUGGCCAAUCCCUAAGGACAGCUUUUGAUUUAUUAAAUUUAAAUAGAUUAGUAACUGGCAUAGACAACUAUGGGCAG
rnacentral:lncRNA from 1 species